GAGGGGAGGUGUAAACCAACGAGAACUGCUAACUCCCGAACCUGAGUAUAAAACCUCAGUCCCCUU
rnacentral:tRNA from 1 species